rnacentral:rRNA from 1 species
AGUGAACGCUGGCGGUAGGCCUAACACAUGCAAGUCGAACGGCAGCACAGUAAGAGCUUGCUCUUACGGGUGGCGAGUGGCGGACGGGUGAGGAAUACAUCGGAAUCUACUUUUUCGUGGGGGAUAACGUAGGGAAACUUACGCUAAUACCGCAUACGACCUACGGGUGAAAGCAGGGGAUCUUCGGACCUUGCGCGAUUGAAUGAGCCGAUGUCGGAUUAGCUAGUUGGCGGGGUAAAGGCCCACCAAGGCGACGAUCCGUAGCUGGUCUGAGAGGAUGAGCAGCCAAACUGGAACUGAGACACGGCCCAGACUCCUACGGGAGGCAGCAGUGGGGAAUAUUGGACAAGGGGCGCAAGACUGAUCCAGCAAUACCGCGUGGGUGAAGAAGGCCUUCGGGUUGUAAAGCCCUUUUGUUGGGAAAGAAAAGCAGCAGGUUAAGACCCCGCUGUUCUGACGGUACCCAAAGAAUAAGCACCGGCUAACUUCGU